CCACUUACCCUUCCCCCGUGGUUGGCCGUUCCGUUGCCCCCUACCCCGAACGACUUAGGGGGGGUACGGGGACAGGGGAAAGGGUAACCUUUCCGGUGGGUUAGUACGGCGGUAAGAAAUCGGCGUAAGAGAUCGAGGAACACAGUCGGUGAGAGGCNCUCUGCGCGACAUACNGACNCNCGGAGGAACGAAUCGGAGGGNGACAGUGGUAUAGACCACCAGUCUCACGACCGAANGUGAUAGUGGUUGUUGUCUGUAUCCGGACCGAUAGCGCGNGACACGUAGUUAAUCNCCCNCGGUGGGAGCACNCANAGUGANAACUAGAAAGUAUGGACGGGGCCCGCACAAGCGGUGGAGUAUGUGGUUUAAUUCGAUGCAACGCGAAGAACCU
rnacentral:rRNA from 1 species